rnacentral:rRNA from 1 species
AAUGGGCGAAAGCCUGAACCAGCCAUGCCGCGUGAAGGAUGAAGGCCCUACGGGUUGUAAACUUCUUUUAUACGGGACGAAUCACUCGAACGUGUUCGGGUUUGACGGUACCGUAAGAAUAAGCAUCGGCUAACUCCGUGCCAGCAGCCGCGGUAAUACGGAGGAUGCAAGCGUUAUCCGGAUUUAUUGGGUUUAAAGGGUGCGUAGGCGGGAUAAUAAGUCAGCGGUGAAAUAUUGCAGCUUAACUGUAAAACUGCCGUUGAUACUGUUAUUCUUGAGUACAGUUGAGGUGGGCGGAAUGUGUAAUGUAGCGGUGAAAUGCUUAGAGAUUACACAGAACACCUAUUGCGUAGGCAGCUCACUAAACUAUUACUGACGCUGAGGCACGAAAGCGUGGGGAGCAAA